GCAUUCUAUAUACUAGACUAUGAUUGACAUUUUGUCAAGUAUAUGUUUAAAUACAUUGUAGGCGUUGAAGUGAUGAGAUAGAUUUGACGGACCUGGGGGCAGUACCCAGCACCUCCACCAAAACUAGGCUAGGUGGCUUAUGUAAUCCCUUCCGGGGGUGAAUUAGGAUCGACGUAUUUUGAAUGCAUCAUGGAGUUUAUCAGUAAGAUCUCUGUAAAAGGUCAAUUUUAUAAAUGCUAAUAGAAAAGCAUUAGGAUUUGCCGACUUAACAGUUGGUAUGUCCAAAAUGAGAUUAGCGGCCUAGUCCACUAAUUUCGGGGUUGGCAACUUACCUGGCAACAGAAAAGUUGCUUA
rnacentral:tmRNA from 1 species